rnacentral:rRNA from 1 species
CACGUAGGGCGCAAGCGUUGUCCGGAAUUAUUGGGCGUAAAGAGCUCGUAGGCGGUCUGUUGCGUCCGCUGUGAAAACUCGGGGCUUAACCCCGAGCCUGCAGUGGAUACGGGCAGACUAGAGGUAGGUAGGGGAGAAUGGAAUUCCCGGUGUAGCGGUGGAAUGCGCAGAUAUCAGGAGGAACACCGGUGGCGAAGGCGGGUCUCUGGGCCGACAUUGACGCUGAGGAGCGAAAGCGUGGGGAGCGAACAGG